GGUAGGAAAUGCCCAAUAAAUCAUCCACCUGUCCUCACUCAAUUGAGAGGCAGGAAAUGCUGAAAACAGUCCCCUUACCUUUUCCACUUUGAAUAUAACAAGAGCUAUCAGGACCCUUUGAAGGGCAGCCCCUCUGACAGCACUAUUAAUACUUCAAGGCCACUGGAGUUGUUUCCAGGCACCAGACCCAAAGGCGGCAGGCACGUUUAGGAUGCUGACUGCCUCUGCUGCCCACCCCUGCCGUGGGCAGCCUCUCCCUGGGCUGGCCCUGGGAAGUGGAUGAAAUCAGCUGCAAUCUAAGGGGCUCCAUGUCCACGGCAUGGUAGUAACUCUGCAGGACAAAAGGAAUUUUAAUCCCUAGUCCUGUCUUUAAGGAGUUUACAAUCUAGAUGGCAAAACGGCUAAGUCAUGAACAUUAAGAAAAUGAUCCCAGACAAGGGGGUUUAUAGGAAAUUUCCCAGGAGAAGUUGGGUAUGUAUAGAAGAAAUGGAAGAUGCUUACAGGCAUGAAGACCAGGAAGGGGCUGGGAACACGCUAAGAGGAAGAAGAUGCCGCAGCUCCUGUGAACACCCUGGAAUGCAUGGUGAAGACACUCAUGCGCCUUCUUGGGGGAUGGUGAGAAGCUGGGGUGUGUGCAGAAGGCCAGGCAGGGACAGGAAACACGGCUGAAGAGCAUGAGCUGUUCAGAAAACAGCCAGCAGACUCUCAGCACUUCAAAGGACACUCCCAGAAUGAGUAUACAGUUGGAAUCAGUAUGACAGUGAGUCAGCCUGGUGAGCCGAAGGCCUGCUGUAAGAUCGAUGUGUCAGGAUCACAUGCUUAGAAACUAGCUUCCAGUGCGCCUGAUUGCCCUUGAUCAAAGCUAGUGGAAAGGGCUGAGGGUUUGCCAGGUGGAACGAAAAAUAAUGAAGAGGGGGGAUAAGUGAGGGGUGGGUGAAGAUAUAGAGGAAAGAAAUGAAAAGAACUAGGAACUGAUAGCAGAAAGUACUUGGGUCACAGUGAGAGAUGGACAUGAGUAUAUGACGUUAGGGACCGCAGAUCCCUAGACCAGCUUUUGAAAUCAGUAGCAAUAUUUAUUGCUUAACUUUUAAUCUCAUUGCUCUUUCAUCAUUUACCAUCACCUGGGCUCUUAUCUUGAUACUAUUCUAGAUGUCCACCAACCACAGGGGUAAUUUAGAGGUUAAGAAUACAGGGACUCUAGGGCCAAACUGUAACUAGAGUGUUUGAACUUCAGCUCUACCACUUACUAUCCCAAUGACCUGAGUUAGGCAAGUUAUUUAACCUCUCUGUCCCUCAAUGUCCUGUCCUAUAACAUAGGGUGAUAAUGAUAAAGCAUAUAAGCAUUUAGGAUAUUCUGGUACAUUAGUGCUCAACAAAUAUUAGUUAUAAUUAUUCGCUGCAUCUAUGAUAUUUCAUUCCAGGUGCUGUUCUGGUCCUUGGGAUAUAUCAAUGAACAAAAUAGACAAAGAUCCCUGCCUUCAUGAAGAUUACAUGCUAGGGCAGGUGGGAGUAAAGGCAGAGACAAUUAACAAUGUUGGUGCUAUUUUUAAUAUCUGACCCAAUUAUUAUUAUCUGACCCAAUACCCACGUAUUCCACCAAACUUUCUGAAAUUCUUUUAAAUCUUUACCUCUUCUUUAAGCAUUCUGCUCUUCUUGGUGUCUUAAGUGAAACCCUGUAUGGCCUCAGUAUGGCCCUGAGGAUGUGGUUUUUCCCAUUGCCCUCAAAAGUGGGUUAUGCUUUUUCUCUCACUGUCCACAUACCCCAAAGCCUGAAGAUAGAGAAGCUGGUUUCCUUUCUCCUCCUCAUCUUGUAUAAACCACAGCUCUUCCUUAGGCUGUAUCCCUCUUUUCCCAUUUUGUUGCUGCCAUCAACAACCUCCUCUUUACCCAUUUAUUGCACACUGAAGCACCCAACUCACCCUCCUCCCUUUCACCCCUAUUUCUGUCAUCAUUCUUCAUGACUUUACAUCCCGAGUUCCUUGGCCUCCUCAUUUCCAGUGAUCUGUUCUUCCACAUUCCUCAGUUAUGUUAAG
ensembl:lncRNA